CUCCCAAGCUGUUAAUUGUUUAAAUUCAUCUUGAAUUUUUCUCUUUCAGACCUGAGGAAAGUGUCUGUGGCCUAAACCCUCCUUUGUCUCGCCCCAGCUGUGCCCGUUGGGCUAAAAAUAAUUUAAAAAAGAGGUUUAUUUUUCUCUACAAAGCUGUUUUCUGCUCCUCAACCACGAGGCCAAGGCCCAGGGCUUUGACCAUGAAUAAACAAGAGCUGCAAAUUAGGAAAUUAUUAACUGCCAGAGGUCAAGAUUCUGGAGGUCUUGCAAAUGAAGAGGUGGAAGGCAAGAAAAGAAAUCGGGUUUAAAGGAGAGGAAAUGUCUAAUUUUACUCCUCACUUUUGGCCAGUGUGGACUGUGCCGAUGGAUGAGAGGAGAGGGAGCAGGAAAAUGAAGGAAGAGAAGGAAUAAAACAUGGAAUAAGUGCUGAGGUUUUUCCCAGCAAACACACAGGGAAGGAGCUGAGCUGGGAAAUGUGUUGUCAGCAUGACAUGAUCCAUCCAACAUUCCCAAAUAUUCCCAGCUCCAUGUGCUAAAAACAGUCUGAACACAACAAUUCAGGGAACUGAAACAUUUUGGCCUUCCAGGAACCAAAACAAUGUCGAAAUGGGGCGGGGUGGUGCAAAAAUCACCUGUAAUUUCUCUUUCCUUGCCAUUCCAGGUACAAAAUCUUGCUCUUACACCUCACAUUUGGGCAUUGUUCUGCCCAAAGACUGGAGUUUUCUGGGGUGGAUGUUCCGUGAGGGCCUGAAACCCCACGACUGGAAUGUGUUGGCUUCCUCUCCUGCUCCAAAUCUCCUCUCCAAACUCGGCUUUUCAGCAGCAUUCCCUGAUUAAUCUCCAGCCUGGGGUCACUCAGGGAAACCCAGAGCUUUGGAGCCCCUUGGAUUGUCAAACAAAAGCUCAAAUCAACAGCAAGUCCCCAAAUCACCCAGGAAUUAACCCAAGGAGCCUCAGUGAAGGGAAGAACCUGCACGUGGGUGAAGAGAUUCCCACUUGGAUGACAGUUUAAUUCACAACUCGUGUGACAGGAGAGAUUCCAGCACUGAGGAGGUCGGUUUGGGUUGAAAGGACCCACUGGAAAGGGAAAAUAAAACAACCUGAAAUUGUGAAAUUGUGGUUUCUUGUCACGGGCCCGACUGCACCGUCUCCUCUGUGGAAAGCUGAUGGGUUUUUUGUCUAAAUUCAUUAAAAAACAGCCUCAAAAAGAAAAGAGGAAAAUCAAAUUGAAGUGUUACCAGUCAGGAGAUGGUGAAUUCACAGAGACCACGAGGAGGUUUGUGAUUGUUCCUGGUUGGGAGCUCAAAUCAAUUGAAUCAGGAAAAGUCCUUUCCUUAAUUUCAGUGGGUUGCUCAGCCCCUCUGACAGAGCCAGCUCUGCAGAUGGGAAUUCUGUUUGGGAAUUCUAUUUGGGAAUUCUAUUUGGGAAUUCCUGCUGCUUCUGC